ensembl:snoRNA
AUCCUUUCAUGGUUCAUAAGCGUGAUGAUUGGGGUUUCAUGCUAGUGCGUGAUAUGUGCUGCCCAUUAAACCUUGUUAUGACGUGGGCACAUUACCCGUCUGACG